rnacentral:rRNA from 1 species
AUGGCGACGCCCACGCCCAUGGCAGGCGAGGGGACGCUCGCCGGGGUGAUGCCGCUGUUGCCGCCCCCGCCACCGGCGGCGGAGGCGGCCGCGGGGUCGGCGGCCGAGGCGCCGAUGCUGAUAUUCCUCUACUUCCACAAGGCGAUCCGCGCCGAGCUCGAGGGCCUGCACGGCGCCGCCGUGCGCCUCGCCACGGAGCGCGCCGGCGACGUGGGGGCACUGGCCGAGCGCUGCCGCUUCUUCGUCAACAUCUACAAGCACCACUGCGACGCCGAGGACGCGUAUCUUUCCAGCACUUGA